rnacentral:rRNA from 1 species
CCUACGGGAUGCAGCAGUGGGGAAUAUUGGACAAUGGGGGAAACCCUGAUCCAGCGACGUCGCGUGAGUGAAGAAGUAUUUCGGUACGUAAAGCUCUAUCUGCAGGAAAGAAAAUGCCGUUACCUGACUACGAAGCCCCGGCUAACUACGUUCCAGCAGCCGCGGUAAUACGGAGGGGGCAAGCGUUAUCCGGCUUGACCGGGUGUAAAGGGAGCGUAGACGGCAGCGCAAGUCUGGAGUGAAAUGCCGGGGCUCAACCCCGGAACUGCGCUGGACACUGGGAAGCUGGAGUGCAGGAGAGGUAAGCGCAAUGCGUGGUGUAGCGGUUAAAUGCGUAGAUAUCAGGAGGAACACCGACGACGAAGGCGGCUUACUGGACUGUAACUGACGUGGAGGCGCGAAGGCGUGGGGAGCAAACAGGAUUAGAUACCCCUGUAGUC